rnacentral:rRNA from 1 species
UAAAAAAUUAAAUAAAGCAUUAAAUGGAUACCUUAACAUCAAAAAUUUAGCGGACGUAGUUAGUACGAAAGUGUUAAACAAUUGUUUAAUUUUCCGCAAUCGAAAAAUCGAAUUUCAUUUUAAAGAAAUGUAUUUAACUUAAUAAAGUUAGGUAUAAAAUUUAGUGAACUGAAUCAUCUAAGUAACUAAUUCAAUGAAAAAUCAACCGAGAAUCUGAAAGUAGUGGCGAGCGAAAUUAGAUAAAGACAAAGAACUUUGUAAAUUUUAGAAUAAACAAAAGCCAAAGAAGGAUACCUAAAAGGCAGCCCUGUAUAAAAUGUAAAAAGUUCUUAUAAGUAAAACGGUACAAGUCACGUGCUGUUUGAAUAUUGAGGAACCAUCCUCAAAGUCUAAAAUUUUUGAUGCUUGAUAGUGAAGAAGUACCGUGAGGGAAAGGUGAAAAAGAUACGUGCGAUAGGAACGAUUUAAAUAGUAUUGAAAUUUAAUGCUGACAAGCAGUUAAAGCUUAUUAAAAAGUAAUAGCGUACCUUUUGCAUAAUGGACCAAUAAGUUUAUUUUAGUGGCGAGCUUAAAUAGAAUUAAUAAUAUGUAGGCGAAAAAAAUUUAAGUAUUAAAAUGUGCGUUUUAGUCUCUGAAAUAAAACCCGAAACUAAGUGAUCUAACCAUGAGCAGGCUGAAUUUUAAAUUUCGAUUUAAUGGAGGGCCGAACCCGUGUAUGUGGAAAAAUACUGGGAUGACUUGUGGUUAGGAGUGAAAGGCUAAUCAAACUUAGAGAUAGCUGGUUUUCUGCGAAAUCUAUUUUAGUAGAGCGUUUGAGAUUAUUCUUUUUUUGGGGUAGAGCUCUCAAUAAAUUAUGGGGAUGAUAAUCUUACUGACUUUAAUGAAACUUCGAAUACAAAAAAAAGUUAUCAAGCAGACAAACAAUGAGUGCUAAGAUUCAUUGUUGAGAGGGAAACAGCCCAGACUACUAGUUAAAGUCCUUAAAUACAAUUAAGUGUAAAAAGUGUGAAAAAGUGUUGACAGUCGAAAGGUAGGCUUAGAAGCAGCCAUCCUUUAAAGAAAGCGUAACAGCUCAUUGAUAGAGCUUUUUUGCAUUGAAAAUUUAUAGGGACUUAAAUUGUUUGACUGAAACUGUAGAUUUUACAAAAACUUUUGUAAAAUGGUAGCAGAACGUUCUGUAAGUUUAAGAAGGUUUAUGGUUACAUAAAUUGGAAAAAUCAGAAGCGAUAAUAUUGGUAUGAGUAACGAUAAACAAUGUGAAAAACAUUGUCACCUUAAGUUCAAGGUUUCCGAUAACAAGGUUAAUCCGUUUCGGCUUAGUCGGUCUCUAAAAAAAAAACGAAAGUUUUAGUUGAUGAGAAAAAAGAAAAAUAUCUUUUUUUGAUUUUAAGUGACAAAAUAUAAAAACAAUUUUUAUUGUAAUUUAUGGUAAAUAAGAGUUGUAUAGUAUUUUCAAGAAAUAGCUUAAAAAUCUUUUAAACCGUACUCAAUCUGACACAAGUGAACUAGUUUAGUAAAUUAAGGUGCUUGAGAGAAUUGCGUUGAAGGAACUCGGCAAAAUGACUCCGUAACUUCGGAAUAAGGAGUGACUUUCUAAGGGAAACCUUGAAAGUUGUCACAAAAUCGGGGGCAGCGACUGUUUACUAAAAACACAGGUUUCUGCUAAUUCGUAAGAAGAUGUAUAGAAACUGACGCCUGCCCAGUGCUGCAAGAUUAAAGGAAAUUGUUUUUAGCUUUUUCCCUAAACCCCAGUAAACGGCGGCUGUAACUCUGACGGUCCUAAGGUAGCAAAAUUCCUUGGCAUUUAAUUGGUGUCCUGCAUGAAUGGCGUAACGACUGCCCCGCUGUCUCCAGCGCAAACUCAGUGAAAUUGGAUUUUCCGUGAAGAUACGGAAUUUUUACGGCUAGACGGAAAGACCCCGUGCACCUUUACUAUAAUUAUAUAUUGUAUUAGAAAUUUGUGUGUGUAGAAUAAGUGGUAAGUUGAUUUUCUAAAUUUAGAAAAAAAGUUUGAUUGCGCUAGCAAAUUAUUCAAGUAACGCUCUUUGAAAUACCACUCUCAUAAAUUUUUAAUACUUAUUUUAUUAGACAGUGUGUAAUUGUUAGUUUGACUGGGGCGGUCGCCUCCUAAAGAGUAACGGAGGCGUGCAUAUGGUAAAUUUGAAUUGAAUAUCUCAAUUUUUAAGCGUAAUAGUAUAAAUAUUUGCCUGACUGUAAGAUUGACAAAUCAAGCAGGGACGAAAGUCGGUUAUAGUGAUCCGGUGAUUCUGAAUGGAAAAGGUCAUCGCUCAACGAAUAAAAGGUACGCCGGGGAUAACAGGCUAAUCACUCCCUAGAGACCCUAUCGACGGGGUGGUUUGGCACCUCGAUGUUGGAUUAUCGCAUCCUGGAGCUGUAAUCGGUUCCAAGGGUUUGGCUGUUCGCCAAGGAAGGCGGUACAUGAUCUGAGUUUAGAACGUUGUGAAACAGUUUGGUCCCUAUCUACCGUAAAUGAAAAAAACUGAAAGGAGUAGACCUUAGUACGAGAGGACCGGAAAAAGCGAAUCCAUGGUUUAUCGGUUGUUAUACCAUUGUCAUCGCCGAGUAGCUACAUUCGUAAUAAAUAAUCGCUGAAUGCAUUUAAGUGAGAAAUUAACCUUAAAACGAGUUUUUGAAACAAUGUAAUAGAUGAUUACAUAAAUAGGCUUAACGUGUAAGAGUUGUAAGAUUUUUAGCGUAUAAGUACUAAAUAAUAAAAUUUUUUGACAUUUUUGU